CCUACGGGGCGCAGCAGUGGGGAAUAUUGCACAAUGGGGGAAACCCUGAUGCAGCGACGCCGCGUGAGCGAAGAAGUAUUUCGGUAUGUAAAGCUCUAUCAGCAGGGAAGAAAAUGACGGUACCUGAGUAAGAAGCUCCGGCUAAAUACGUGCCAGCAGCCGCGGUAAUACGUAUGGAGCAAGCGUUAUCCGGAUUUACGGGGUGUAAAGGGAGCGCAGGCGGCCUUGCAAGUCUGAUGUGAAAUACCGGGGCUCAACCCCGGGGCUGCAGUGGAAACUGUGAGGCUGGAGUGUCGGAGUGGCAGGCGGAAUUCCUAGUGGAGCGGUGAAAUGCGUAGAUAUUAGGAGGAACACCAGUGGCGAAGGCGGCCUGCUGGACGAUGACUGACGCUGAGGCUCGAAAGCGUGGGGAGCAAACAGGAUUAGAUACCCGUGUAGUA
rnacentral:rRNA from 1 species